UUCAGAUUACUGGCUUGAAACUAGCUCCUCUAUAUGAGCUGAUUGUUCAGUCUACCCUUAAAGAAAAAUGCAGUGAAGACUUGUCUACACAAAAAUCCUGUUUCUUUGUGUCUCUUCCAGAUUGCCCAAAGCACUGUUACUUCAUAAACAAGGGCUCAGAAAAAUCAGAUUUAGCAGGAGCCUUCAUCAGUAAAAUCCCAUUUAGUCAUCCGAAGUGUGUGCCUGGUGUAAUAGAGAUUCUUCGACAUCAAGUGGCAUAUAACAGCCUUAUUAGCACCUGUGUCUCUGAGAAGCAUAUAAAUGAAGAUGAUUCAGAACUGCUUUACUUUGAAGUGGUACCACACAAGAACACCAGCUUUUCUGUCUUUUUCCUUCAUCCUGUGAAAGAGAAUUUAGCCUGUGUGCUAAUUGAUGUUAUAACCUCCAGAGAAGUCCAAUGUCGCCUUCAUUUAAAUCCUCAAGAUCCAACUCUAAAUUCUAGUGAUGACUUUAUAGCAAGAGCUGUGAAGCGGUAAGUAGUUUCAUUUUAUUUCCUAAGUUGGAAUGAACCUCAGAUGUCCAUUUAAUGGAAAUAUCAUGUGCAUUCAUAAUGCCAUAAACUCAGCAACCAGAAAACUUCACUCUAGUCAAAAGUUAUAAUAGUGAGAAUAAGUUACUUCAGUGUCUUAAGUACCUCCUUCAAAAAUUUUAAGCAUUAAUAGGGAUGGAAAGUGUUUCUUUCUAGUAGAAAGCAUGUGGGGCAGGGAAACACUUUUGAAUGAAGAGAGUUUCACCUUUUAUAAAGAUGCUUUUUUCCUUUGUAAAUAUGCUUUUCUGAAGACUCUAGCUGAUGACAGUCUCAUGACUGGUAUAACUUAGAAUAGCAUGGAAAGGACUCUUUCCAUAUCUACCUAAUACAAACCAGUGCUUCUUUUCAGAAAGUGAAGUGUUGUGGUGGGCUGACCCUGGCUGGAGGCCAGGUGCCCACCAAAGCUGUUCUAUCACUCCCCCCUCCUCAGCUGGACAGGGGAGAGAAAAAAUAUAACAAAGGGCUCAUGGGUCAAGAUAAGGACAGGAGAGAUCACUCACCAAUUACUGUCACAGGCAAAACAGACUCAGCUUGGGGAAAAUUAACUCAAUUUAUUACCAAUCAACCAGAGUAGGGUAAUGAGAAAUAAAACCAAAUCUCAAAACACCUUCCCUCCACCCCUCCCUUCUUCCCAGGCACAACUUCACUCCUGAAUUCUCUACCUACCCCACCAGCGGUGCAGGGGGAUGGGGAAUACGGUCAGUUCAUCACAUGUUAUUUCUGCUGCUUCAUCCUCCUCAGGGGGAGGACUCAUCACACUCUUCCCCUGCUCCAGCAUGGGGUCCCUCCCAUGGGAGACAGUCCUCCACAAACUUCUCCAAUGUGGGUCCUUCCCAUGGGCUGCAGUUCUUCAUGAACUGCUCCA